rnacentral:lncRNA from 1 species
UGAGAACAUGCAAAAACCAGCAUUUGUUUUUGAUGGAAGGAACAUUGUAGAUGCUGAGAAGUUACGUGAGAUUGGUUUCAUUGUUUAUUCAAUUGGAAAACCAUUGGAUGCAUGGCUCAAGGAUAUGCCAGCUGUGGCAUAAGAAUAUAGAUCAUUGAUUCAACAAUGAAAAAGUCAAGUAUUGAGUUGAGGCACUCAGUUUGAUUCUUUAAUAUUUUUUGUUAAGAUUUUUGUUUUUUAUCUUUACUUUCUUCACUUUCCCAUAGGAAUGUUGGAAGCUUUAUGUUUAAUUACUUUGUUUUUGUACUCACA